CGUUCCUCUGGGAGGAACAAGUGGCCACUGGAGGGAAAGGAUGUAGCAGAUGAGAGCAGCUUAAUGACGGCUUACAUUAAAAAAAAGCUUCAUAUUCCUGUCAUCACGAGGCUGUUCACUCCCCACUACUCUCCUAAGCUGGCUCAUCAGUCGUUGAGAAAACCUCUCAGCAACUUCUCCCCAGAGUAAUUAUGGGAGUGGUGAUUUUUUUUUCAUGAACCUGCAGGACCUUGAUUGACCUCAGCUUUGAAAUAAUCCACAUACCAAAGUGACACAUCUUGGAAGAGCUAUAAUGGACAUCAUGGGGAGGCCUAUCUGAAAAAUCUGAACAUCUUGAAGACCUAGCCUUCAAAAAUGUAAACUAAGAUGCUUAAAACACAAUUAAUCAUGUCUGGAUAUGAUUAGGGGUAAAUGUAAAUGGAUAAAUGCCGACCAAAAUGUGCUGAUUCAUGCGAAGGC